CCUACGGGUGGCUGCAGUGAGGAAUAUUGGUCAAUGGGCGAGAGCCUGAACCAGCCAAGUCGCGUGAGGGAUGACGGUCCUAUGGAUUGUAAACCUCUUUUGUCGGGGAACAAAGGCGUCCACGUGUGGACUGAUGAGUGUACCCGAAGAAAAAGCAUCGGCUAACUCCGUGCCAGCAGCCGCGGUAAUACGGAGGAUGCGAGCGUUAUCCGGUUUUAUUGGGUUUAAAGGGUGCGUAGGCGGAAUAUCAAGUCAGCGGUAAAAAUUCGGGGCUCAACCCCGUCGUGCCGUUGAAACUGAUGUUCUUGAGUGGGCGAGAAGUAUGCGGAAUGCGUGGUGUAGCGGUGAAAUGCAUAGAUAUCACGCAGAACUCCGAUUGCGAAGGCAGCAUACCGGCGCCCAACUGACGCUGAAGCACGAAAGCGUGGGUAUCGAACAGGAUUAGAUACCCUAGUAGUC
rnacentral:rRNA from 1 species